AUAUGGAGACAGUGGCAUUUAUAAAUUGUGCUCUAUGCUUAUGACUGAAUUGGAAUAUGAUGGUCAGGAAAGCCAACUACUAAGAAUUCAUCUGCAGUCGGAAAAGGCCUCUGCCACACAGCAGUCAGUCACCUACAAUGAAUACAUUCCCAGGCCUCGGGCUUCAAGCAUGAGUAUUUUGGAAACCUCUCCAGCGACUUGGAUAUACUCCUCACUGCACACCUCAUGGCUAGAAGGGACCAUCUGGGAGAGGAAGGUUUUUUAGUUUUCUCCUCAGUAUCAUCUGUGCCUAGCAUGAUACCCAUGUGGUGGUAGCAUGAAAGCAAAUGAUGUCCUCUUUCGCUUGGCAAGAGAGAAACAGAAGAGAGAGAAAGGAAACAAAGCUCUCACCUGUAAGACAGGAAGACUCAUUAAUGGAUGAAUUAGAACUAGACUUGAGUCUAAAAGAAAAUUUUAUGUGCAUAUACAACUUCAGAAGGGGGGAUAGUUUUCUAGGAAAUAGCACGCGCAAAAUACAUACAGAUUGAGAUAACUAUUCCAUAAAGAAUAGGGAAGAAAUUCGUGUGAUGGAAAAGUUAACAACACAUGUACAUUUUAUUAAUUUAAAUAGGCAUGUUGGCACCAAGUAUAGCUUUUCUGCCAUUCCUUUUUCUAGUUCAGAUGUAGCAUCAUGAGAUUUGAGGCUGGAUGAUUCCACAUUCUAAAUGUUUACAAGCUAAAAUACUUUAAAGAAAUUCACAUUUUUCAUGCUACAGUGUAUUGAUUUCUAUCUCAAUGAAAGGUAAAACUAACUAUUUACUAACUACCUUCUUGCACAAAGCUGAUCUUUCUUGUCUUUAGAUGAUUCUGUAUGUUUUGUCUGUCUGAAUUGGCUCCCACUCACCUGGUCUCUUACUACAGAAUUCAGCAAAGGCUUUACCUCCUCAGUAAUUUGCCCCUGAUCACUGUACCUUGGAUUAAAAGUCUCUUAUACUCUAA